CCUACGGGAGGCAGCAGUGGGGAAUAUUGGGCAAUGGGCGCAAGCCUGACCCAGCAACGCCGCGUGAAGGAAGAAGGCUUUCGGGUUGUAAACUUCUUUUCUCAGGGACGAAGCAAGUGACGGUACCUGAGGAAUAAGCCACGGCUAACUACGUGCCAGCAGCCGCGGUAAUACGUAGGUGGCAAGCGUUAUCCGGAUUUACUGGGUGUAAAGGGCGUGUAGGCGGGACUGCAAGUCAGAUGUGAAAACCAUGGGCUCAACCUAUGGCCUGCAUUUGAAACCGUAGUUCUUGAGUGCUGGAGAGGCAGACGGAAUUCCUAGUGUAGCGGUGAAAUGCGUAGAUAUUAGGAGGAACACCAGUGGCGAAGGCGUUCUGCUGGACAGCAACUGACGCUGAGGCGCGAAAGCGUGGGGAGCAAACAGGAUUAGAUACCCGAGUAGUC
rnacentral:rRNA from 1 species